ACUACGGGUGGCAGCAGUGGGGAAUAUUGCGCAAUGGGCGAAAGCCUGACGCAGCGACGCCGCGAGAGGGAUGAAGGUCUUCGGAUCGUAAACCUCUGUCAGCAGGGAAGAACGGUCACUGUGCUAAUCAGCAGUGAAUUGACGGUACCUGCAAAGGAAGCAGCGGCUAACUCAGUGCCAGCAGCCGCGGUAAUACGGGGGGUGCGAGCGUUAAUCGGAAUUACUGGGCGUAAAGCUCUCGUAGGCGGUAUGUCAAGUCAAGGGUGAAAUCCCCGCGCUCAACGUGGGAACUGCCUUUGAAACUGGCAAACUGGAGUGUGUGAGAGGGUAGUGGAAUUCCAGGUGUAGGAGUGAAAUCCGUAGAUAUCUGGAGGGACAUCAGUGGCGAAGGCGACUAUCUGGCACAUAACUGACGCUGAGGAGCGAAAGCGUGGGUAGCAAACAGGAUUAGAUACCCGGGUAGUC
rnacentral:rRNA from 1 species